rnacentral:lncRNA from 1 species
CACAGACUCAGAGAACUAACAUGGUUAGUGGAAGAAGGAUGAGAGGAAGAGUGCGGGGUGCGCUCCGCAGAAAGAGAAAGGCAGUGGAACUUCCCUCAGCAACGCCGAGGGGUCCGGAGGGGAGGUGAGCCUGCUGUCCGCCAACCCAGCUCCUCGCGAGCAAGAGACAAUCAGACGCGACAGGGGUUCAGUCUGAGCCCUUCCGCUUUCUUGCCACAAACUCUUGGCUUAUAUAGGCAAACAAGGGAGUUCUGCGAGGGACCUCCCAUAGUUGCACCAAUCACGUUAAAGGUCAAAUUAUAAUAUGCACAUAAGGUCAAGUCGUCAUGAGCUUAAUAGGAGUCUAUGGUAAUCACGUACUGUCCACGUGUACGAACGUCAAGAGAGCCAAUCAAAAACUUUAACAUAGGCCAUGCCCCUAUCUCUUCCGCCAGAUGCCAUCUUGGCUUCCAACCGCAAAAGCUAGCCCCGUUUUUUUUUAAGCUUUCCCUCCUAGGGCCCCACAGAAGAGGAGACCUGGCCCCCCAACACAUACGCGCAGAGAAGCUCCUCGGAGGCCAAGGGGAGCCAGUCCACGGAUGUUCUCUACCCAUACGCUGUUCAGUAAAAUCCAUCUUGGCUGAGAGACAUUCUUCUCUGCAAAGCCGAAUGGCCAGGGCCCUCAUCACUGACCACUGGUCUAGGAACUGGUGCCUUCACCGCGGCCACCAGCCUCCAUCUCUGGCUGGGGACCCAAACCCCGCUCCAAGCCACUGUGGGCCGAGGCCACCCGAUCACCGCUGCAGCGCAGAGAACUCUUCUGGGUACUAUGUAACAACCUGAACGGAAAAAGAAUUGGAAAAGAAGAGAUGAGUGAACUUAAUCACUUUGCGGUACACCUAAAUGAUCACAAUAAUGUUAGCUUGCUGUAUUCUAUGUAAAUAAAAAGUUAAAAUAAUAAUAAUCGUAGAGCUUUUAUUUUGCUCUUGCUGGUAAAAGCAGACUCCUGGUGACCCUCAGCCUCCAUUCCUGCGUGCUGGCCACUGCUGGUUCUGAUCCGACGCGGACCCUUUAGCUCACAGGCCUUGUCCAGGGCACCCGCAGACCCCUGCCUGCCUCGUCUGUGUGGAUACCUGUCAGGCCCUCCAGGUAGACGACCUUCGCCACCCCCAGGCUUCAGUUCUAGCAGAUGUAAAUGAAGGGUCUGUGUGUGCCUUUGUUUGCACCCCGUCUGGUGCUAGAUGCUAUGGCAACAAGAAAGAAGAAUCCGACCAGGCGCUUUGCUUCAUGGAGCCUACAGCUUGGCACACACAGAGCUCCCCAGCCAGGGCGCCUGGGGCUCAGCCCUGAGACCAUGCGAGAGGUCCUGGUGAGGAAGAGGCUGUGUCUGGCUGGAGUCACCAGGGAAGCCUCUAGAACUGAUCGAGACGGG